rnacentral:tRNA from 1 species
AGACCCAUAGUGUAAUGGUAGCACACCAGAUUUUGGUUCUGUUCGUCAAGGUUCGAAUCCUUGUGGGUCUA